AUAAUAAACUAUAAAUACAUAGAAACUAUGUUAUUUUAAUCCCGAGUCGAUAACCGCGGAACAGGUGAUGACUGACGAAGUGAACAAUGAAUCUUGAAACACAAUCGUUAGAAGUUGAAAAAAUUAUGAAAAAUGUAAAACUAAAAUACUCUUUAUUGAAGUUGAAAGACGUCGGAAAUAUCAAACCUAUAGUAUCAAUAAGACGUAAACAGUUUAUCGGAGUGAAAAGAAAAACGAUACAUCAUGAUAUAAUAUAUAUAUAUACAGUGUAUAUUAUACACGUAAACACCAAAGUUAAACCAUAUAGACACAUGGCUAUUCCCAUGACGUCUCGGUCGCGAAUAAGUUAAAAAAUGUAUACGUGAAUGAUACCUAUGCGGAGAUAAAAACCAUGACAAUACCACAACGAUCGGAUGUCAGAAACGUAAUAAUAAUAGUA